CCUACGGGGUGCUGCAGUGGGGGAUAUUGCACAAUGGGGGAAACCCUGAUGCAGCGACGCCGCGUGUGGGAAGACGGUCUUCUGGAUUGUAAACCACUGUCCCCAGGGACGAAAAUGACGGUACCUGGGGAGGAAGCUCCGGCUAACUACGUGCCAGCAGCCGCGGUAAUACGUAGGGAGCAAGCGUUGUCCGGAAUUACUGGGUGUAAAGGGAGCGUAGGCGGGGAUGCAAGUUGGGUGUCAAAACUACCGGCUCAACCGAUAGUCGCACUCAAAACUGCAACUCUUGAGUGAAGUAGAGGCAGGCGGAAUUCCUAGUGUAGCGGUGAAAUGCGUAGAUAUUAGGAGGAACACCAGUGGCGAAGGCGGCCUGCUGGGCUUUUACUGACGCUGAGGCUCGAAAGUGUGGGGAGCAAAUAGGAUUAGAUACCCUUGUAGUC
rnacentral:rRNA from 1 species